UACGUAGGUCCCGAGCGUUGUCCGGAUUUAUUGGGCGUAAAGCGAGCGCAGGUGGUUUAUUAAGUCUGGUGUAAAAGGCGGUGGCUCAACCAUUGUAUGCAUCGGAAACUGGUAGACUUGAGUGCAGGAGAGGAGAGUGGAAUUCCAUGUGUAGCGGUGAAAUGCGUAGAUAUAUGGAGGAACACCGGUGGCGAAAGCGGCUCUCUGGCCUGUAACUGACACUGAGGCUCGAAAGCGUGGGGAGCAAACAGG
rnacentral:rRNA from 1 species